rnacentral:rRNA from 1 species
CGCGUAGGCGGCCAGAUAUGUCAGGUGUGAAAGUCCACGGCUCAACCGUGGAAGUGCAUUUGAAACUGUCUGGCUUGAGUAUCGGAGGGGAGUGUGGAAUUCCCGGUGUAGAGGUGAAAUUCGUAGAGAUCGGGAGGAACACCGGUGGCGAAGGCGACACUCUGGACGAAUACUGACGCUGAGGCGCGAAAGCGUGGGGAGCAAACAGGAUUAGAUACCCUGGUAGUCC